rnacentral:rRNA from 1 species
UACGUAGGGGGCUAGCGUUGUCCGGAAUCAUUGGGCGUAAAGAGCGUGUAGGCGGCUCGGUAAGUCCGCUGUAAAAGUCAAAGGCUCAACCUUUGAAUGUCAGUGGAUACUGCCGGGCUAGAGUCCGGAAGAGGCGAGUGGAACUCCUGGUGUAGCGGUGGAAUGCGCAGAUAUCAGGAAGAACACCAACGGCGAAGGCAGCUCGCUGGGACGGUACUGACGCUGAGACGCGAAAGCGUGGGGGAGCGAACAGG